UACAGAGGUCUCAAGCGUUGUUCGGAUUCAUUGGGCGUAAAGGGUGCGUAGGUGGCGCGGUAAGUCGGGGGUGAAAUUUCGGAGCUUAACUCCGAAACUGCAUUCGAUACUGCCGUGCUUGAGGACUGGAGAGGAGACUGGAAUUUACGGUGUAGCAGUGAAAUGCGUAGAGAUCGUAAGGAAGACCAGUGGCGAAGGCGGGUCUCUGGACAGUUCCUGACACUGAGGCACGAAGGCCAGGGGAGCAAACGGG
rnacentral:rRNA from 1 species